UAGGGAAUCUUCGGCAAUGGACGAAAGUCUGACCGAGCAACGCCGCGUGAGUGAAGAAGGUUUUCGGAUCGUAAAACUCUGUUGUUAGAGAAGAACAAGGACGUUAGUAACUGAACGUCCCCUGACGGUAUCUAACCAGAAAGCCACGGCUAACUACGUGCCAGCAGCCGCGGUAAUACGUAGGUGGCAAGCGUUGUCCGGAUUUAUUGGGCGUAAAGCGAGCGCAGGCGGUUUCUUAAGUCUGAUGUGAAAGCCCCCGGCUCAACCGGGGAGGGUCAUUGGAAACUGGGCGACUUGAGUGCAGAAGAGGAGAGUGGAAUUCCAUGUGUAGCGGUGAAAUGCGUAGAUAUAUGGAGGAACACCAGUGGCGAAGGCGGCUCUCUGGUCUGUAACUGACGCUGAGGCUCGAAAGCUUGGGGAGCAAACAGG
rnacentral:rRNA from 1 species